GGCCCAUAGCUCAGUGGGUAGAACAUCUGCUCUGUAUACAGAAGGUCCCAAGUUCAAUCCUCAACAUCUCCA